rnacentral:rRNA from 1 species
CAAAGGGCGCAUGGUGAAUGCCUUGGCAUCAGGAGCCGAUGAAGGACGUGAUAAGCUGCGAUAAGCUUCGGGUAGGCGCACAUAGCCAGUGAUCCGGAGAUUUCCGAAUGUGGGAACACACAUGGGAAACCCCAUGUAUCGUAUAGUGAAUACAUAGCUAUACGAGGGUAAACCUAGGGAACUGAAACAUCUAAGUACCUAGAGGAAGAGAAAGAAAAAUCGAUUUCCUAAGUAGCGGCGAGCGAAAGGGAAAGAGCCCAAACCAAAGAUUUAUCUUUGGGGUUGCGGACAGAACAUUAACGAGAAGUCAUGAUUAACCGAACACAACUGGAAAGUUGGACCGUAGGAGGUAAUAGUCCUGUAGGUGAAAGUCAAGAUAAUCAAGUUCUGAUCCAGAGUACCACGAGACACGUGAAACCUUGUGGGAAGCAGGGAGGACCACCUCCCAAGGCUAAAUACUACCUGAUGACCGAUAGUGAAGCAGUACCGUGAGGGAAAGGUGAAAAGAACCCCGGGAGGGGAGUGAAAUAGAACCUGAAACCGUGUGCCUACAACCGGUCAAAGCCCCUUAUGAGGGUGAUGACGUGCUUUUUGUAGAACGAGCCAACGAGUUACGGUAUGUAGCAAGGUUAAGUACUUAAGGUACGGAGCCGAAGGGAAACCGAGUCUUAAUAGGGCGACUAGUUGCAUGCCGUAGACCCGAAACCGGGUGACCUAUCCAUGGCCAGGUUGAAGCGAGGGUAAAACUUCGUGGAGGACCGAACCACGUUGCUGUUGAAAAAGCAUGGGAUGAGCUGUGGAUAGCGGAGAAAUUCCAAUCGAACUCGGAGAUAGCUGGUUCUCCCCGAAAUAGCUUUAGGGCUAGCGUCGGAUAUGUGUAGUGGAGGUAGAGCACUGAAUGGGCUAGGGGGCAUAUCGCUUACCGAACCUUAUCAAACUCCGAAUGCCAUAUACAUUAAGUCCGGCAGUCAGACUACGAAUGAUAAGAUCCGUGGUCAAAAGGGAAACAGCCCAGACCGUCAGCUAAGGUCCCAAAGUGUAAGUUAAGUGGAAAAGGAUGUGGGAUUUCUAAGACAACUAGGAUGUUGGCUUAGAAGCAGCCACUCAUUUAAAGAGUGCGUAAUAGCUCACUAGUCGAGAGAUCCUGCGCCGAAAAUGUACCGGGGCUAAACUUACCACCGAAGCUACGGAUUUGCAAGUAAUUGCAAGUGGUAGGGGAGCGUCGUAAUCGGGCUGAAGUCGUACCGGAAGGAGCGGUGGACUGAUUACGAGUGAGAAUGUUGGCAUUAGUAGCGAGAUGUAGGUGAGAAUCCUACAGGCCGAAUAUCUAAGGUUUCCUCAGGAAGGCUCGUCCGCUGAGGGUUAGUCGGGACCUAAGCCGAGGCCGAAAGGCGUAGGCGAUGGACAAUCGGUUGAUAUUCCGAUACCACUACCAUCGUUAUUAUCGAGGGUGUGACGGAGAAGGAUAGUGUGUGCUAGCGAUUGGAAAUGCUAGUCUAAGCGUUUAGGGAGUUACGGUAGGCAAAUCCGCUGUAACAAUUCUGAGGCGUGAUGGGGAAGGUCAUUAAGACCGAAGUACAUGAUUCCAUGCUUCCAAGAAAAGCAUCUAGAGAGAGAAGUAGUGCCCGUACCGCAAACCGACACAGGUAGAUGAGGAGAGAAUCCUAAGGCCGGCGGAAGAAUUGCAGUUAAGGAACUAGGCAAAUUGACCCCGUAAGUUCGCGAGAAGGGGUGCCUGCGAGAGCAGGCCGCAGAGAAUAGGCCCAAGCAACUGUUUAGCAAAAACACAGGUCUCUGCUAAAGCGUAAGCUGAUGUAUAGGGGCUGACGCCUGCCCGGUGCUGGAAGGUUAAGGGGAACACUU